rnacentral:ncRNA from 1 species
AUGUUUUUGAGGCGAAAAGGUGUGACCAGGAUUGAUUCUCCGGUGCCACUUAAUAGGGAAUGAAGUGCGAUUCUUCAGCAGUGCCGCUACUGUAAUGGACAUAGUGUCCGAGCCAGAUACCUGCCUUUAGCUAGUAACCAAU